GCUUUGUUCAGCAUUUUGGCAUCUCGAUCUGCAUCAAAACCCUGAUGACUUCUCACUUUGGCCUGGAGAAAAUAAUUGAAAAGAGUCUCAAACAGUCGCUGGCUCAUGGUAGUUUCUCUGGAAGAAUGUGUUGACCUGACUAAAAGGAUGAGAGUGGCUUCCCUCCUCUCCGCUGGCAGAGGGACGCUUCGCAGCUGCCUUUCCGUGAACAGCUCUAGGGGGUGAGAUUCUCACCAUACCCACCUCUUGAUUACUUAUAUUUGCCUACAUCAAGUUUGGAUUUGACAGAAUCAGAACCAUGCCUGGUGUCAUCUCCUUUUCUCCUUCCCCAGCUGGAUGCUUCUGUAGGAAGGUGGCCGGGAUGAUUCCAAGCAGCAGCAGUGGGAAAGGAAGAGGGUUUCCUGUGAUUUCUGGGAGGCGGUCACGUGUGGAGGUGUAGAGGGGAGAGGAGAGGGACUUCCUGGGAGAGAAGAGUAAGCAGACCUCACAGAACAGGGAUGGGAGAGUUGUUUUGUCUUGUGUCAUUAUAAAUAUUUAGUGAUAUAAGUUAUUUCAGGUGCUGCAUAAUAUCUUCCUUUACUAAAUUGAGCCUGUUUAUUUACAUCUCUCAGAUUCUGGUGGUUCACAAAAUGAUGAUUCCAGCCAACAUUUGAAUAUCCUUCUAACCUUAUGAGUCUCAAUAACAAAUCAUAAAUUGAUCUUGCCAAAGAAAGCCUUUCCUUCUGUGCUGCCCACCAAGGUUAAGUUUCCAACACUUCAAAAUUGUUACAUGUCCGUUAUGCUUUAAAUUGUAUCCCCCCAAAAGCCAUGUGGAGGUCCUAACCUUCAGUACCAGUGAAUGUGACUUUAUUUGGAAAUAGUCUUUCUAGAUGUAACCAAGUUAAGAUGGUAUUGUGGUGUCCUUAUAAAAACAGGAAAACACCAGGUGAAAACAGACAUACAUAGGGAGAAGGCUGUGUGAUGACAGAGGCAGAGACUGGAGUGCUUUAGGUGCAAGCCAACAAAUGCCAUGGACAGAUGGCCACCCCCAAAUGCAGGAAAAGGGAGGGGAAGGAGUCUCCUCUACAGGUUUCAGAGAGAGAACAGCCCUGCCAACUCUGUGAUUUUGGCUUCUAGCCUCCAGAAUUGUGAGAUCAUAGAUUUCUGUUGUGUUAAGCCACCAAAUUUGUAGUACAUUGUUACAGCAGCCUUAGGAAACUAAUAUGUUAAAACAAAACAAAAAAAAAAGUGUCAGUUGCUGUGAUUCUUACAGCAAAUGCACUGUGCUGUGUAAUUUGUAUUUAAUAAACUUUUGA